UAGUCCACGCCCUAAACGAUGCUAACUCGAUGUUUGUUUAACUAUGAGCAUCCAAGGGAAACCGUUAAGUUAGCCACCUGGGGAGUACGUUCGCAAGAAUGAAACUCAAAGGAAUUGACGGGGGCCCGCACAAGCGGUGGAGCAUGUGGUUUAAUUCGAUGAUACGCGAGGAACCUUACCAGGGCUUAAAUAUAGUCUGACAGCUUUAGAGAUAGAGUUUUCUUCGGACAGAUUACAAGGUGCUGCAUGGUUGUCGUCAGCUCGUGCCGUGAGGUGUCAGGUUAAGUCCUAUAACGAGCGCAACCCUGUUGUUAGUUGCCAGCGAGUAAUGUCGGGAACUCUAGCAAGACUGCCGGUGCAAACCGCGAGGAAGGUGGGGAUGACGUCAAAUCAUCACGGCCCUUACGUCCUGGGCCACACACGUGCUACAAUGGUAGGUACAGAGAGCAGCCACUUGGCGACAAGGAGCGAAUCUAUAAAACCUAUCACAGUUCGGAUCGGAGUCUGCAA
rnacentral:rRNA from 1 species